CCGGCUACCACUUCUAAGGAAGGCAGCAGGCGCGCAAAUUACCCAUUCUCAGAACGAGGAGGUAGUGACGAAAAAUACCAAGGUGAGGCUCAUUGAGUUUCGCCAUUGGAAUGAGAACAAUCUAAAUCCUUUAACGAGGAUCUAGUGGAGGGCAAGUCUGGUGCCAGCAGCCGCGGUAAUUCCAGCUCCGCAAGUGUAUUCCUAUACUGUUGCGGUUAAAAAGCUCGUAGUUGGAUCUGAGUGUUUAGCGCUUGGUGCAGUUCUGCUGUUACUGAGUGCGGCACAUAAUCGCCAAUUGGUUGCCAUCGUUGCCUUAACUGGUGAUGGUGGUUGACUGUUGGCAUGUUUACUUUGAACAAAUCAGAGUGCUCAAUACGGGCGUUUCGCUUGUAUGGUCGUGCAUGGAAUAAUAGAAUAGGACCUUGGUUCUAUUUUGUUGGUUUUCGGAAUCGAGGUAAUGAUUAAGAGGGACAGACGGGGGCAUUCGUAGCUGCAACGUGAGAGGUGAAAUUCUUGGAUUCGUUGCCAGGACGAACUACUGCGAAAGCAUUUGCCAAGAAUGUUUUCAUUAAUCAAGAACGAAAGUAAUGGGUUCGAAGGCGAUCAGAUACCGCCCUAGUCAUUACCGUAAACGAUUGUAAGCUGGGAGCUAGCAGGAGUCCUUUGUGACUCUGCUAGAACCCACCCGGAAACGAUAAGUUUUCGAUAUCCGGGGGAAGUAUACUUGCAAAUGCGAAACUUAAAGGAAUUGACGGAAGGGCACCACCAGGGGUGGGACUGCGGCUUAAUUUGACUCAACACGGGGAAACUCAUCCGGUCCGGACACCGUGAGGAUUGACAGAUUGAGAGCUCUUUCUUGAUUUGGUGGGCAGUGGUGCAUGGCCGUUCUUAGUUGGUGGAGUGAUUUGUCUGGUUUAUUCCGAUAACGAACGAGACUCUGGCCUACUAACUAGUUGCGCGAUCUUCUUGUCGUGCCAACUUCUUAGAGGGACAAGCGGUGCUCAGCCGCAUGAAAAAGAGCAAUAACAGGUCUGUGAUGCCCUUCGAUGUUCGGAGCUGCACGCGCGCUACACUGUGGGUGGCAGCAUGUUAGCUUGCCUCGCUCGCAAGAGUGGGGUAAUCGUUUGAAAAUCCCACGUGAUUGGGAUAGGGACUUGUAAUUAUUUCCCUUGAACGAGGAAUCCCUAGUAAGUGCAGGUCAUCAGCUUGCGCUGAUUACGUCC
rnacentral:rRNA from 1 species